rnacentral:rRNA from 1 species
GACGAACCGAGCGAACGUUGUUCGGAAUCACUGGGCUUAAAGGGCGCGUAGGCGGGCGGCUAAGUCCGCGGUGAAAUCCUCCAGCUCAACUGGAGAACUGCCGCGGAUACUGGUUGUCUCGAGGAAGGUAGGGGUAUGCGGAACUAUCGGUGGAGCGGUGAAAUGCGUUGAUAUCGAUAGGAACUCCGGUGGCGAAGGCGGCAUACUGGACCUUUUCUGACGCUGAGGCGCGAAAGCCAGGGGAGCAAACGGG